GCAGGUGGUUUGGUUUAAGUUCAGAUGUGAAAGACCCGGGGCGUCAACCUCGGAAUAAGCAUUUGUAAACUAGGCAGACUAGAGUACUGUAGAGGGGGGUAGGAAGUUUCUAGGUGUAGCGGUGAAAUAGCGUAGAGAUCUGAAGGAAUACCGGUGGCGAAGGCGGCCCCCCUGGACAGAUACUGACACUCAGAUGCGAAAGCGUGGGGAGCAAACAGGAUUAGAUACCCCUGGUAG
rnacentral:rRNA from 1 species